rnacentral:rRNA from 1 species
UACGUAGGGUGCGAGCGUUACUCGGAAUUACUGGGCGUAAAGCGUGCGUAGGUGGUUCGUUAAGUCUGUCGUGAAAGCCCCGGGCUCAACCUGGGAAUGGCGAUGGAUACUGGCGGGCUAGAGUGCGGUAGAGGGUGGUGGAAUUCCCGGUGUAGCAGUGAAAUGCGUAGAUAUCUGGAGGAACACCGGUGGCGAAGGCGACAUCCUGGACCGGUAUUGACGCUGAGGCGCGAAAGCCAGGGGAGCAAACGGG